rnacentral:rRNA from 1 species
UACGAAGGGGGCUAGCGCUGUUCGGAAUUACUGGGCGUAAAGCGCACGUAGGCGGCGCAGCAAGUUAGAUGUGAAAUGCCUGGGCUUAACCUAGGAACUGCAUUUAAGACUGCUGUGCUAGAGACCGGGAGAGGGUGGCGGAAUUCCCAGUGUAGAGGUGAAAUUCGUAGAUAUUGGGAAGAACACCGGUUGCGAAGGCGGCCACCUGGACCGGCACUGACGCUGAGGUGCGAAAGCGUGGGGAGCAAACAGG